rnacentral:snoRNA from 1 species
AAGAGUAGACCUUUAGGGAUCACCUCUAGAGUUUGUUACUGGAGAGGUUUCUUUGAACAUUGUAGAGCACCCGAAACCACGAGGAAGAAGUGUAAAAAAAAAAAAAAACAGAUUUCUUUUUUGAGAUGCUUACUAGCUAUCCAAGUAGUAGUGGG